GGAGUUAGCCGGUGCUUCUUCUGUGAGUGAUGUCCUUCCUGCCGGUUAUUGACCCGCAGGCCUUCUUCCUCACUGAAAGUGCUUUACAACCCGAAGGCCUUCUUCACACACGCGGCAUGGCUGGAUCAGGGUUGCCCCCAUUGUCCAAUAUUCCCCACUGCUGCCUCCCGUAGGAGUCUGGGCCGUGUCUCAGUCCCAGUGUGGCUGAUCAUCCUCUCAGACCAGCUACGGAUCGUCGCCUUGGUGAGCCGUUACCUCACCAACCAGCUAAUCCGACAUAGGCUCAUCCGAUAGCGCGAGGCCCGAAGGUCCCCCGCUUUCCCCCGUAGGGCGUAUGCGGUAUUAGCCUGGGUUUCCCCAGGUUAUCCCCCACUACCGGGCAGAUUCCUAUGCAUUACUCACCCGUCCGCCGCUCGCCACCAGGGAGCAAGCUCCCCGUGCUGCCGCUCGACUUGCAUGUGUUAGGCCUGCCGCCAGCGUUCAAUCUGAGCCAUAGANACAACUCACUACGAGCGGCGGUCGCGACGACGGC
rnacentral:rRNA from 1 species